GAUGGCAGCACUGCGUUGUCCACGUCGUUAACCUUCUUACUUUACAUACUCUUUGUUCUUACUUGUGCAGGCGCAGGUCACCUACCGAGUUACCGACACUUAUCAGCUUAAAACGAUAAAAUCAUUUAUACUUCACUAUACACUAAUUAUAUGUAAACGGAGGGUUACUACGUCAUCAAUGUAUAUUUCCAUUUUUGAGGGGUUCAGGUUACUAAACCUCAUUGUACAAUAACCGGCCACGUGCAGUAUCUGACAAGUAUUGGCGAAUUUUCAUUUAUUUGAACACUCCUGAGGGCCUGUUUUUUUAUAUACUUUGAAAAAUAUAUUCCAAUAAAUAAAUACAUAUUGGUUGGUGGACUCAACUGAAGAGUUUUGCUGAGUUGGAGCUGCUGUUUUGUGGAUGAAUUGCUGCCUGACCAGUGCUGCUGCCGCUGCUUCUGCUGCUGCCGCUGCUUCUGCUUCUGCUGCUGCCGCUGCUUCUGCUUCUGCUGCUGCUGCUGUCAUUGAUUGCCGCUUUGCACUGCUUUUGUACUUGCACUGAUACAACAGUUUCUUUCUGGACGCUGCGUUCAGGGUUUGCACUAUCCUGCUUAUUUUUUUUUCUUAAGUCGAAAUUUAAACUGAAUGCCAACUAAUAUCAUUACUCGUGUUGCUUAGUUUGUCUUGCUUAAUUACAAAUGCUUGCUUAGCAAAAAUGGUUGAUAUAUAUUACACGGAUGGUUUACUUAGUUAGCACCUAUUAACAGAUACCAUCAAAGGCCACCCCUCUGAUUUUUUAUGUAAUUUAAAAUAUUUUUAAUUGAAUUAUUUCAUAAAAAUACUAUUUUUAAUAAAGACUUGUUUAAACAAGAAAUAAAUGUUUGCCCCCGUGACAAUAUACAUCAAAUAACUUAAAUGUAAUCUAUGUACCUCUGUAGGAAAUAUCCAUGUCCCUAGUACAUUUAUUAAUCAAGUAGGCGUUCCAAGAGGUGCACAAUAUGAUGAUUUAUAGGUAUCAAUACUACACAUAUAAGGAAACACACUGUUGAUAAUACAUUUACGCGCAUUAUAAUGUUAUUAAUUUAACAUAAAAAUAUAUUUUGUUCUCAUAUAAUUGCGAGGGAAGAGUAAAGUUAGAAUAACUUAUUUAAACAAACAAUGAAUAACAUUAUAAUACAGAAGUGAUGGCUAUACUUAAUUUUAACUUGAAAAUUAUCCUAAUAUUAUAUUAUUUUAUCUUAACUAGCUGUGCCCGCGACUUC